rnacentral:lncRNA from 1 species
AAGAGCUAGGAGGACUGGUGGGAGGCGUCCUAGGGCAGCGACCGACGGUGAGGAACGGAGGGAAGAGCCUUCCGCGCCGUCUCCUCCGGUUGCUCCGCCAACCAUGACCAUUUCCUGUGCGAAUCGCACAGUAACCACUGGGAGGUACAUAGAUUUCCAUUUUCUAGAUAGUGAGGGGUUCUCUAUUGGAGAGAGACUCCGUGCCCAAGGGUGGGAAUAUCUUUGUACACUCAAUACUUCAACCUACCCCGGCCUAGUUAGAGAACUAUUUAGCAAUAUGGCCUUAGGGGACUUAGGAUACACUGCAUAUGUUCGGGGGACGUUGGUAGAAAUUAAUGAAGAUGUCCUAUCUAGCGUCUUGCAAAUCCCUAAGGACGGUGAGGCUCCGACCUCACAUCCCCAAAGGAAAAUAGCCCUAAACUUGCUUUUAGGAUGAGAGGACUGUGGCCCUCUCGAUGUGGUUAACUCCCAAGACCUAAAUGCCGAGAUGAGACUCCUUUUGAG